GUAGUCAUGGCCGAGUGGUUAAGGCGAUAGACUGGAAAUUCACUGGGGUUUCCCCGCACAGGUUCGUAUCCUGCUGACUAUG
rnacentral:tRNA from 1 species